GGUUCGAUGGCGUAGUUGGUUAUCGCAUCUGUCUAACAUGGUCCAGCUUCGGAACGUCGUUACACAGAAGGUCCCCAGUUCGAGCCUGGGUCGAAUCA